UUUUUUCAUUUGGAAGAAGUUUGAAGUACUACAGCAUGGCUCUGAGAAAAUUACUGGGGACAAGGCCUGAUUUCCCCCUAUUCCUGCCCCCCACCCCCACUGGCAAUCAAGGCCAGAAUGAAAUGCAUGGAGUGUGAGCUGGAAGUGCAGCACACAGGUUUGAGUCCUGGUGAGACGCAGGAGGAGCCAGGACAGGAACCACCCCACAGAGUCAAGCCCCUCCAAGCACCUCAACCUCCCACCCCUGACAUAGUAGUUUGGCGGCAGCAACGGAUUAAGUGGCCUCCAGCCUCAAAAAAGAAUGAGUGGCAAGAAUAAAGGAUUGUUUGUAUUUGGCUGCUGCACUUUCAGAUCACAAUCCCAUCAAAAUGACCUGGUUAAUGGACUCGGUACAGCCACCCCCGCAAAGAUGAAGAUUUAAAACAUUUAUGCUAAAAGACUCAAAAUUCAUAACGUAUAUGAACUCUCAAAUUGAUCUGUUCCUUAAAGCCAACCUGAACUCUACCUCUAACGUAAAUAUCUGGGACGCCCUUAAGGCAUUUAUGAGAGGAUGUAUUCUGUCCUACAGUUCAUAUAGAUCAAGAGAAAAGAAAAAAGAAUUGGCUAUACUAGAUGAAGAAAUUAGAGAACUUGAACAAAAACUUUCCGAAACCAAAAGAAUGGGCAUUUUAAAUUCUUUGACUACAAAGCGAAUACAGUAUAAUUCGGUCUUUAGGUGUGACGUAACACCCUCUCAAAAUACUAUUUCUGGGUCCACACACUCUGUCAGAUACUCAAAACAAACGACAAUGGUGGAACCUGUGAACUUGUUUACAAUCACUUCUUUCUUCAGUGAGGUACCUGAGAGAGUGAAAAAAGGUUUAAAUUCCUUCAAUUCCAACAGAGUGGUCAGUGUAGCUGUUCUGCCUGGUGGAAUAACAAAGGGUAGUGUCCAGGCAUCACAGAAAAAGAGUU